UACGGGGGGGGCAAGCGUUGUUCGGAAUUACUGGGCGUAAAGGGCUCGUAGGCGGCCAACUAAGUCAGACGUGAAAUCCCCAGGCUCAACCUGGGAACUGCGUCUGAUACUGGAUGGCUUGAAUUCGGGAGAGGGAUGCAGAAUUCCAGGUGUAGCGGUGAAAUGCGUAGAUAUCUGGAGGAAUACCGGUGGCGAAGGCGGCAUCCUGGACCGACAUUGACGCUGAGGCGCGACAGCGUGGGGAGCAAACAGG
rnacentral:rRNA from 1 species